rnacentral:rRNA from 1 species
UUAGCGGCGGACGGGUGAGUAACACGUGGGUAACCUGCCUGUAAGACUGGGAUAACUCCGGGAAACCGGGGCUAAUACCGGAUGCUUGUUUGAACCGCAUGGUUCAAACAUAAAAGGUGGCUUCGGCUACCACUUACAGAUGGACCCGCGGCGCAUUAGCUAGUUGGUGAGGUAAUGGCUCACCAAGGCAACGAUGCGUAGCCGACCUGAGAGGGUGAUCGGCCACACUGGGACUGAGACACGGCCCAGACUCCUACGGGAGGCAGCAGUAGGGAAUCUUCCGCAAUGGACGAAAGUCUGACGGAGCAACGCCGCGUGAGUGAUGAAGGUUUUCGGAUCGUAAAGCUCUGUUGUUAGGGAAGAACAAGUGCCGUUCAAAUAGGGCGGCACCUUGACGGUACCUAACCAGAAAGCCACGGCUAACUACGUGCCAGCAGCCGCGGUAAUACGUAGGUGGCAAGCGUUGUCCGGAAUUAUUGGGCGUAAAGGGCUCGCAGGCGGUUUCUUAAGUCUGAUGUGAAAGCCCCCGGCUCAACCGGGGAGGGUCAUUGGAAACUGGGGAACUUGAGUGCAGAAGAGGAGAGUGGAAUUCCACGUGUAGCGGUGAAAUGCGUAGAGAUGUGGAGGAACACCAGUGGCGAAGGCGACUCUCUGGUCUGUAACUGACGCUGAGGAGCGAAAGCGUGGGGG